rnacentral:rRNA from 1 species
GGGUUGUGAGGUUAAGCGACUAAGCGUACACGGUGGAUGCCCUGGCAGUCAGAGGCGAUGAAGGGCGUGCUAAUCUGCGAUAAGCGCCGGUAAGGUGAUAUGAACCGUUAUAACCGGCGAUACCCGAAUGGGGAAACCCAGUGUGAUUCGUUACACUAUCAUUAACUGAAUCCAUAGGUUAAUGAGGCGAACCGGGGGAACUGAAACAUCUAAGUACCCCGAGGAAAAGAAAUCAACCGAGAUUCCCCCAGUAGCGGCGAGCGAACGGGGAGGAGCCCAGAGCCUGAAUCAGCAUGUGUGUUAGUGGAAGCGUCUGGAAAGGCGCGCGAUACAGGGUGACAGCCCCGUACACAAAAGCGCAUGUGCUGUGAGCUCGAUGAGUAGGGCGGGACACGUGGUAUCCUGUCUGAAUAUGGGGGGACCAUCCUCCAAGGCUAAAUACUCCUGACUGACCGAUAGUGAACCAGUACCGUGAGGGAAAGGCGAAAAGAACCCCGGCGAGGGGAGUGAAAAAGAACCUGAAACCGUGUACGUACAAGCAGUGGGAGCCCCACCACUAAGCCAGUGGUGAACUCCACAUCCGCAUCCUUUGCUGAGGAUACGGUUAACGGAGCGAAAGCGACGUUCAACCGCAAAACAAGCAGAGGGGGCUUAG